rnacentral:sRNA from 1 species
GAUGUGUGCGUGUGGGUUUGUGCGUGUGACAUUUUAUCUCUGUCACUAAAUUGACACUUUAGUUAAUGGAUUUUGUAUGUGUGAGUGCGCUAUUUGUGGCGCUUACUUUUUAUCUUUGCUUUGCUUGCCACUGUUGCUCGUUGCUCCUUGCCUCAGACACAGCAAACAACACAACAGCAGGACACGCACUUGCCCGGCAGAGUCGAGCACCAAUAUUUAUCAGCGAAACGCUGACGAUGACAACGCCGUGAAUGGGAAUGUGUCCUUUCCACUUUCCACCUCUCUCCCAGACAGACAGUCCUAAUCCCCGACAACAGCCGAGGGAUUAGCCGCUUGUUUGUUUUAUUCGAAAUACGAGUACCCAUAUACACACGAUUUGUUAGGAGUUACAUGCCAGACAUACAAAAAUACUCGUACACAUUAGCUCAAUAAUUUUCCUGAUUUCGGUUAAAUAUAAUGAAACGACGGGCAUCACAUGUGACCGCCCAUGUGCUACCCUGUGCCAAGAGGCUGUACCUUGGCAAGCGCCUUGGAGCUGUAAACCAACCAACUGCCGUGAAAAAAUUGCGACGCAAUGGUCUGGAGACACCGCCGGAGACACCUGUUGACUCUUCCUCUGAGUACGCUGUUGUGGUGCACUGGACUCGCGCUCAACGCAACAAAUUUCCAACUAUCACACUGGAGACGCCCUGGUAGAGAGUUCGAAUAAACAUAUAUCAUAGGCGAAUAUAAUAUUAUGUAAAAAUAAACCAGAUGAAAUUCUCCAAUUCCUAUAA